rnacentral:misc_RNA from 1 species
UUGAGUCAGAAAGAACACCAAACACCACAUCAGUCCAGUUAGAUGCACCUGAUUGGUGCAUGGAUAGGAUAGCCACCUUUGCAUUUGGCACACCUAUUUCAUCAGUGAUAUCAUACUCUAAUCUUCCAAUGUGUGGAAUAAGCUGCGAAACUGGCUGUUGCAGUCUAAAGUAUGCUUGCACUGUGGCACUUAGCUUAAUUGUAGCUUUGGCAUCAAAGCCAUCCAACUUUGCCGUACGGA